rnacentral:rRNA from 1 species
CUACGGGGUGCUCCAGUGGGGAAUAUUGCACAAUGGGCGCAAGCCUGAUGCAGCCAUGCCGCGUGUAUGAAGAAGGCCUUCGGGUUGUAAAGUACUUUCAGCGGGGAGGAAGGGAGUAAAGUUAAUACCUUUGCUCAUUGACGUUACCCGCAGAAGAAGCACCGGCUAACUCCGUGCCAGCAGCCGCGGUAAUACGGAGGGUGCAAGCGUUAAUCGGAAUUACUGGGCGUAAAGCGCACGCAGGCGGUUUGUUAAGUCAGAUGUGAAAUCCCAGGGCUCAACCUGGGAACUGCAUCUGAUACUGGCAAGCUCGAGUCUCGUAGAGGGGGGUAGAAUUCCAGGUGUAGCGGUGAAAUGCGUAGAGAUCUGGAGGAAUACCGGUGGCGAAGGCGGCCCCCUGGACGAAGACUGACGCUCAGGUGCGAAAGCGUGGGGAGCAAACAGGAUUAGAUACCCGAGUAGUC